GGGUAGUUCUGUCUGUCACCACUUCUUCUGUAGUAAGCAAUACUACCUGUAAGUAGGUAGAUGCCCAAAGCAUUGCUGUGGGUUUCUCCCGUUGCUGCCUUCACCCCAGCCACAUCCAGACUCACUGGUGCCUCUGCUCUUCUAUCUGAACAUCUUUGCUCCUGGCAAGAGCUCUCCUGUGCUGCCUGAUUUCUGUCCUUUCGACAGGCCUCCUGAACUCCAGGCUUACCUCCUUCCUGACCAGGGUGUAUCCGCAUCACCUCUCUGAAAUUAACUUCUGACCCAAAUGAGCUGUCAUUUCCCAAGGAAACUGCGGAGUACUGAUGGCUGCUGCUUUCAGCAUCUCCCAAACCAACUGAUGGCUCACCCUCACUUGCCACCAGAUGCUGUCCUGGGGCUAUGGUUCUGACCCUCUGUGUGAUGCCAGGUGCCUGAUGCCUACAGGUCACCUUUCCUGGCACUCUGUCCAGCACUGCUCUCCUUCCAGCGCCCAGCCUGCUUACAGAGUUCACUUUGCCAUGGGAUGGGACAGUUAGUGUCCUUUCUGCAGGCCCUUUGGCAUGUGUGAAAUGUCAUAUCAAGUGUAAGUGUCCAUAAAGGACAAAACAGGAGCCACCGCUGCACCAGCUGGUCCGGUGACUGAGUCCUCUGUCUGCCCCUGAAUGUGUUAAAGGGGCUCUUGUGUGUUGUAUGUUUUUAGGCCUACUUCUCAACUAGCUGACCUUCUGAAUCACAAAAAGAAUGUUUCCCUCUCUAGCAGCUGGGUGGCAUGUGGGUCUUUGAGUGGUAGUUUCAUUGGUGUACGUGGCUUAUCUUAAGCAGGCAACUAAACUCCAACUUUUCUGUCAUCUUCAUCAUAUAGUAGCUAAAACCACAUUCAAACUUCUGCGGAUGUCUUAAGGCUAGCCAUGACUUGGUUUCAGUCUCUCUUUUAGAUAGAUACAGUGGAAGAGUGAAAGAAUCUCUGCCAGUAAUGUGAAGGAUAAUUUAAAGAGUGAAAAU
ensembl:lncRNA